AUUGGCAUCACUACAGAUUGUUCAUCUUACUUGUGUCAUUCAAGCGACUAAAGUUGCUGGAAGUGCUGAAACGCUGCAUUGAUUAAAUCGAAUAGUAAUCGAAUACUUAGAGUUAGAGCUUCUAAGACUUGAGACUUUUUUCAUAAAAUUUUCAGUGAAACAUCAAAACAAUGGUUAAAUUCACUUUCUUGCUACAUAUUUUGAUGGCAUUGGCAGUGACGAUAGCUGUAUUCGCGACAGCAGCAACCGCCGAUUGUGAACCAAAGUGCGAUCCAGGUUAUCAUUGUGAGUCCAACGUUUGGAGAGCGGGCACAUGGGUAUGCAUACCGAAUGGCGCUGUCCAAUGAGCUAUGUAACUGAGAGCCAUUAUCUCUUGAGUCUUCAUGAAAAGCCCAAAUUCAUUUUAUCAAAAGUAAAUUUUUCUAUUUAAUAAACUAAUAAACGGACGUUGAAAAAUUAAUAUUU